UUUUUUUUUUGACAGGCAGAGUGGACAGUGAGAGAGAGAGACAGAGAGAAAGGUCUUCCUUUUCUGUUGGUUUACCCCUCAAUGGCCACUCUGGUGGCACGCUGCAGCUGGCACAGCGCGCCAAUCCGAAGCCAGGAGCCAGAUGGCUCUCCUGGUCUCCCAUGUGGGUGCAGGGCCUAAGAACCUGGGCCAUCCUCCACUGCACUCCUGGGCCACAGCAGAGAGCUGGACUGGAAGAGGGGCAACUGGGACUAGAAACCGGGGUGCCAGCGCCACACGCGGAGGAUUAGCCUAGUGAGCCGUGGCGCCGGCCAAUUUCCUUCCUUUUUAAAGCUGACUAAUAUCCAUUGUAAGCAUACACGAUACACAGUGUGCAAGUUUAUCCAAGGAGGAACUGACAGGUGUUGGCCUGGCUCCCCCUCUGCGCUGUUGUGAACAGCACUGCUGUGAACGGAGGUCUAGAAAUACCUUCGAGACUUGCUUUCACCUCUUCUGGGUACACUCCAGAAGUGGAUCAUUUUACUCUAAAGAGUUCUGUAUUCCUACUUUUUUUGGAGGAGCCAGCAUUGUAGUACAUUCCAGUGGUGUACAAGGAUUCCAGCGUUCCGUGUUCUCACCAGUACUCUUCUCUGGUUCUGAUGGUGGCCGUCCGAGUGAGUAGGAGGUCGUAGCUCGCUGUGGGUUUGAGUUGCAUUUCCUUAUCUUCAGUGGUGUGGAACAGCUCUUCAAGUGCUUACUGUCCAUUCGUGACCAGCAUCAUCAUCUCCGAGGAAAUGCCUGCUCCAGUCCUUUGUGGGUUUUAAAUCAUUUUUGUUGUGUUGUAACUGUUCUUUAUAUAUUGUGUGUAUUAACUCUGUCUCAGAAUUUUACCCCAUCCUUGCAGAUGCCUUUCUACUCUGCUGAUUGCUUUGAUGCACAGUUUUGUAUUUUUUUUUUAAGAUUUAUUUAUUUAUUUUAAAGUCAGUUACACAGAGAGAGGAGAGGCAGAGAGAGAGAGAGAGAGAGGUCUUCCAUCCGAUGGUUCACUCUCCAAUUAGCCACAACAGCCAGAGCUGCACUGAUCCGGACCCAGGAGCUUCCUCUAGGUCUCCCACGCAGGUGCAGGGGCCCAAGGACUUGGGCCAUCUUCUGCUGCUUUCCCAGGCCAUAGCAGAGAGCUGGAUCAGAAGUGGAGCAGCCGGGUCUCGAACCGGUGCCCAAAUGGGAUGCUGGUGCCUCAUGCCAGGGCGUUAACCCACUGAGCCACAACGCCAGCCCCUUGAUGCACAGUGGUUUUUUUUGUUUGUUUUGUUUUUGUUUUUGUUUUUGUUUUUGUUUUGUUUUUUUUUUUUUUUGACAGGCAGAGUGGAUAGUGAGAGAGAGAGACAGAGAGAAAGGUCUUCCUUUUGCCAUUGGUUCACCCUCCAAUGGCUGCCACGGCUGGCGCGCUGCAGCCGGCGCAUCGUGCUGAUCCGAAGCCAGGAGCCAGGUGCUUCUCCUGGUCUCCCAUGGGGUGCAGGCCCAAGGACUUGGGCCAUCCUCCACUGCCUUUCUGGGCCACAGCAGAGAGCUGGCCUGGAAGAGGGGCAACCGGGAAAGAAUCUGGCGCCCCGACCGGGACUAGAACCUGGUGUGCCGGCGCCGCUAGGUGGAGGAUUAGCCUAUUGAGCUGCGGCGCCAGCCUGAUGCACAGUUUUUAAUGUGUGUGUAGUCCAGUUUACCUGUAGUUUAUUGCCUACGGUUUGGGUGUAUAAUGCUUUCUGUAUAGAAUCACUUUCCUGGUAUUUUGUUGAGGACUUUUAGCAUCUACUUUGUUUUCUUUUUCUAAAUAUAUAUUUAUUUUAAAGGCAGAGUUACAGAGAGACAGAGGCAGAGAGAGAGAGGUCUUCCAUCCGCUGAUUCACUCCCCAGAUGGCCACAACGGCUGGAGCUGCGCUGAUCCAAAGCCAGGAGCCAGGAGCUUCUUCUGGGUCUCCCAUGUGGGUGCAAGGGCCCAAGGACUUGGGCCAUCUGCUGCUGCUUUCCCAGGCCAUAGCAGAGAGCUGGAUCGGAAGUGGAGCAGCCGGGACUCGAAGCGGCAUCCAUAUGGGAUGCCGGCACUGCAGACGGUGGCUUCAUCUGCUACACUACAGCAUCGGCCCAGCAUCUACUUUCACAAGGUUUGCUAUCGGAUCUGACUAGAAUCGACUCGUUCUUGCUCAGUUCGGGAACCCAUGGCCCAGUGCUCCGAGAUGGAGCCGUGUUCCUCUCUCGAUGCGCAAGUUCGUGAACGCCCCUUGGAGCGGAAUCCGGAUCAACCAGAGCCCUGCACAGAACACAGGAUGGAUGCAGAGGGGGGCUGGAGACUUCGUGACACAGUUCAGGAAGCGAAGAGGAAGCCUUGGACUUGGCCAGACUUUUGGGAGUUGGAUACACAGUGUGGGCGUUCCUCAGUCGAGAGGCCCAAGGCAGGAUGCCUGUCUUGAAGGGAUGUGUAGGAGGUAGGUGAUGGGUAUUUGACUGGGGUGGGGAACCUUUUUUCUACCAAGAGCUGUGUGGAAAUUCAUACAUCAUUCAUGGGCCAAUAUAAAAUUCUUGACUUAGAAAUGAGCCUGCUACGGAGUUACUGAAUUUUGAGCUCACUGAGUGAUUUCCAGGGCCUUCCCCACCCUGAACCUAGAU